UUUGAGUAGUUUGAACGAGUUUGUUUUUUCAAGUUAUCAGUACUUGAAUAUAUUGAUUAGUUUCUGACAUUGCCCUUAAAUAAUUUGAGUUUUAACACUGACGUCACUUACAUGCCUACGUACGUACGUGCGCCACCUGUUUCUUUAUUAAGUGCUGGCAACCAUCUUGGAUUCCUCGCUUCGAGUGCGAAUGCCCGCUCAUUACUUCGAAAGAAACUUGUGGAACGUUAAUAUCCGAACAGAAAUAAAAACAUUUGUGAAGGGGUUUUUUGCGGCAUUGCCUUUGACGCUGGAUAAAGGAGGACGUGCUAUGGUAUGUUACGGACUUUUGAACUGGAACAGCUAACGCUCUGCACUUGGCUAGCUGCAUUUACCGCCUUUGCAGCAUCUUCAGGAGCGCUUUUGUGGUAAGUUUUAUUUUUUCUGAAACUAUAGUUCUCCGUUUUAAUAUGGGUUUUUAUCGUCAUAAAUGUACAACUCUAGCAGGCAUUUAAGAAUUACAUGCAUGCGUCGUUUUAUCCAUGUCGCCUUGGCCCCAAAGUGUUUUGCAUGAAUUAUGCUAAUAAGCUCAUAUUUAGUAUAACACAUUAUUAGUCCCUGGGACUAAUAAUGUGUUAAUAACUUUUCUAAUCUCCUACUAAGUCUUUAGAAGGCGUUUCUGGAUUUGCAGAUUAUAAACUGCCUUGUGGUUAAAUUGUUGAAUCAAUAUGCACUGCUACGCUGCUUCACACUUAGCGCAUACAUGGAUAUUGACUUUGGCUAACCCAUUUGCUAACUUUUGGAACUUGAAACUUACGUUUAGUUCUCUGGAGUUGUACAUAUUAAAACUGGGGCAGCAAAAUUGUAGGCACAGGACAUGCUUACAAAAGCAGUGAUUAAUCAUUACAUAAUUAGGCGGUAGAACAUGGUUUACAUUGCAAAUAGUUAUGUAUACUAAGUUGAAAUGUAGAAGCUUCUGAACUGUAAAAUUGUUGUGCCUGGUCUAUUUUAGGUUAGCUUAAGGUUGAAUCCAUCAAUAAUAUAUUGACCAAACAGUUAUUUUUUUUCGUUUUAUUUUAUUCUGAUGCCCAGUGUUCAUUAGUGAAAGACUUAGUUUUUUAUCUGUCAGGGGCUGGGUCUGUGACGCAGCAUUUUGAGUUUAUUUUGUAUUUUUGCUUUCUUAUGUUAUAUUGAAAUGAGGUGAAGUUCUUGUAUUGUUGUUAUUAUUAGUUAAGGUUUAGUUGAGUUCUGGGCUAGUUAUGUUUCAUCUGUGUCUCCUUGGUUAUGUGUCUUUUCUGUUCUCUGUGUAGUCUGUCUUGUCUUCUGUGUUUUACUGUUAUGUCCAUGCCAGGGCAGAAGUAAAUUUUCAGGGGUGAAGAUGCUGUUUACCUUGACCAGCUAAGACUACAGAUUGUAGAUGAAGUCGAGAAAAGUGAAAAGAAUCCUGAUUACAAAGCUGAUGCUCACAACUUUGGCCUUGCAAUGCAAAGAGAUCAUCAAUGAUGACCUACCAGUAGGUCAGAUCCUGGAUUGCUGGCCUACUCUGAAAUCCCAGUCCCAGAUCUGUGCAGAAUUGCACAGGAUCACAAACCUCCACCUGAAGAACCACUUUUAUGCUGUGUUGGACCAACAUUCUCCCCGGCUCCAGAGCUUAUUCAGAUAGAAAGCUGUUUGCACAGGGAACGUGUCUGAUGUCCUGUCUCAGCUCUUCAGAAGCUAUAAUCUCCAGGAACAAGCUGAUAUCCAUGCCCAACGUGCUGGUGUGCUUCAUGCCCUCUCUGCCUAUUUGUACGAAGACACCUCUAGCUUCAUCAUAACGUGGGAUAUGAUGCAUUCUGAUAGACCAGAUAUUAGUGAAGUGCCACUUGGACUCCUGAUCAGAGCCAAUUCCAGCAAUGCAACAUUCUUCUGCCCUGAGAAGACUGCAGUUUUGGUCGAGGGUAACAUGAUCAUUGUUUUCACCACCCUAGCUGAUGGAUUUCUAGUAAUAUUUGGACUGACCUACGCCCUGCACCUAAGCUACCCAAAAUGUUUGGCCAACAUUUUUGACUUUAUUCAGAAAGUUUUGAUGGGUCUGAAGGGUGGGAAGUUGAAGCCCAAAGUGCUGAGUCUUAAAAAUGAUCUUUUGGCAGCAGAAUAAUGUCCAGGAUUCCUACACAGUCCUCAAGUGCCUGUUAAAGCAAGUAAUUCAGCUUAUCAUGUUUCAAAGUCUGGAUAAGUGUUUUGUUUUGUUUUUUUUAAAGAGAAUAGAAUAAAGAAAUCUUUGCACACUCUGUUUCAUACUUCAUCAUCUUAAAUCCACAUCCAAAGUAAAAGGGGUGAUUUUAUUUUAUUUAUUUAUUUAUUUUCCCCCCAUCAUCACUUGUUUUAGUUGAUUUUGAUUGUGUUUUUAGUCAGAUAACUGUAAAUCCAUAGAGAAAAUGAAGGACAAUCUCACUACAUUUCUGGCUUCUAGGUGGGAUCUUGAAUGUCACUUAAGGAACGUUCCUCCUGAACUGCUCAUAACUGACAUAAGGCGCUAAGGAGGUUUAUAACACUGUUUUAUGUCUCUAAAGAAGUAUUUUUCUAUUUAAUGUUUUAUUGCUUUGUUGUUGAGACUGUGAUUGCACUCUACAAAUGUGCAUUUUGCAUAACCAGAGUACUGGCAUAUUAAAAAGGUUACCAAUUAUAUUUAGGUGUAUUAUACUGCACUAUACUAUACUAUUACUUUCAUUCGGUUUUCCCACAUAAUAAUGCAGGAUUUUCUUUUCCUUUUGUUUGUUUGUUUUUUAAUAAAAAGGCCAUACUCGUGUGUUAAUCAAAUCUGAAUACUCUUAAAACAUGUUGUGAAAUUCUUUAUUUCUAAUAUUGUAACCUUGUGCCAAAACUGGACAUUUCUGACAUUAUUCCCUAUAAAAUGUGGUGGAUUUAUGUCGUUGGACUUUUUGUUAGAAAUGCUAUGUGUUAAAGUAACUCAAUAAAUUUGUAACUUGAAUUUAUAUUUUCUGUCUUAUGUUUUUACAAGUGUAAU